GCACAGGUUUUUUUUAAAGCCAUAUAUAUUUUUUUAAAAUAAGAU
rfam:Cephalotus follicularis DNA, scaffold: scaffold1772, isolate: St1.